rnacentral:rRNA from 1 species
AGAGUUUGAUCAUGGCUCAGAUUGAACGCUGGCGGCAGGCCUAACACAUGCAAGUCGAGCGGUAACAGAUCCAGCUUGCUGGAUGCUGACGAGCGGCGGACGGGUGAGUAAUGCAUAGGAAUCUGCCCGRUAGUGGGGGAUAACCUGGGGAAACCCAGGCUAAUACCGCAUACGUCCUACGGGAGAAAGGGGGCUUCGGCUCCCGCUAUCGGAUGAGCCUAUGUCGGAUUAGCUAGUUGGUGAGGUAACGGCUCACCAAGGCCACGAUCCGUAGCUGGUCUGAGAGGAUGAUCAGCCACAUCGGGACUGAGACACGGCCCGAACUCCUACGGGAGGCAGCAGUGGGGAAUAUUGGACAAUGGGGGGAACCCUGAUCCAGCCAUGCCGCGUGUGUGAAGAAGGCCCUCGGGUUGUAAAGCACUUUCAGCGAGGAAGAACGCCUAGCGGUUAAUACCCGCUAGGAAAGACAUCACUCGCAGAAGAAGCACCGGCUAACUCCGUGCCAGCAGCCGCGGUAAUACGGAGGGUGCAAGCGUUAAUCGGAAUUACUGGGCGUAAAGCGCGCGUAGGUGGCUUGAUAAGCCGGUUGUGAAAGCCCCGGGCUCAACCUGGGAACGGCAUCCGGAACUGUCAAGCUAGAGUGCAGGAGAGGAAGGUAGAAUUCCCGGUGUAGCGGUGAAAUGCGUAGAGAUCGGGAGGAAUACCAGUGGCGAAGGCGGCCUUCUGGACUGACACUGACACUGAGGUGCGAAAGCGUGGGUAGCAAACAGGAUUAGAUACCCUGGUAGUCCACGCCGUAAACGAUGUCGACCAGCCGUUGGGUGCCUAGCGCACUUUGUGGCGAAGUUAACGCGAUAAGUCGACCGCCUGGGGAGUACGGCCGCAAGGUUAAAACUCAAAUGAAUUGACGGGGGCCCGCACAAGCGGUGGAGCAUGUGG